GACGAACGCUGGCGGCGUGCCUAAUACAUGCAAGUCGAGCGGACAGAAGGGAGCUUGCUCCCGGAAGUUAGCGGCGGACGGGUGAGUAACACGUGGGCAACCUACCCUGUAGAUCGGGAUAACAUCGAGAAAUCGGUGCUAAUACCGGAUAAUCAUUUGAAGUGCAUGCUUCGAAUGUAAAAGAUGGCUCCGGCUAUCACUACGGGAUGGGCGCGCGGCGCAUUAGCUAGUUGGUAAGGUAAUGGCUUACCAAGGCAACGAUGCGUAGCCGACCGGAGAGGGUGAUCGGCCACACUGGGACUGAGACACGGCCCAGACUCCUACGGGAGGCAGCAGUAGGGAAUCUUCCGCGAUGGACGAAAGUCUGACGGAGCAACGCCGCGUGAGUGAUGAAGGUUUUCGGAUCGUAAAGCUCUGUUGUUAGGGAAGAACAAGUGCCGUUUGAAUAAGGCGGCACCUUGACGGUACCUAACCAGAAAGCCACGGCUAACUACGUGCCAGCCGCCGCAGUAAAAC
rnacentral:rRNA from 1 species